GACGAACGCUGGCGGCGUGCUUAACACAUGCAAGUCGAACGGAAAGGCCCUACUUUUGUGGGGUGCUCGAUUGGCGAACGGGUGAGUAACGCGUGAGUAACCUGCCCUUGACUUUGGGAUAACUUCAGGAAACUGGGGCUAAUACCGGAUAGGAGCGCAUGCUGCUUGGUGGGGGUUGGAAAGUUUCGGCGGGUGGGGAUGGACUCGCGGCUUAUCAGCUUGUUGGUGGGGUAGUGGCUUACCAAGGCUUUGACGGGUAGCCGGCCUGAGAGGGUGACCGGCCACAGUGGGACUGAGAUACGGCCCAGACUCCUACGGGGGGCAGCAGUGGGAAAUAUUGCACAAUGGGCGGAAGCCUGAUGCAGCGACGCCGCGUGCGGGAUGACGGCCUUCGGGUUGUAACCCGCUUUAGCCUGUGACGAAGCGUGUGUGACGGUAAUGGGUAAAGAAGCACCGGCUAACUACGUG
rnacentral:rRNA from 1 species